UUCUAGAUUUCUGGGGUCAUAACAUAAAAAGUAAGAUGAACAUUUGGAGAAACGCUGUUUACCUGUUUAUUGAACCUGUAACAUGAAUAAAGAUUCAGGCGAACAGUUUAAAGUGGGUCCAGUUUCUUUGCUCUUGCAGAACAGUUCUGAUCAGACAAAUGUUACUGAUGCUCAUCAGUCCAAUAAUGGUCAUGUGCUGUAACCAUGGCGACAUGGACCUCACUCUCUUUCUAACAGGAGAAAGAUCUAGAAAAUUCUUUACCCAAACAACUGCGAUAGACAGAGAUAGGACAUUUUACAGCUGGGCUAAAAAUUUAGAUUGAACUUUUCCCAAACUAUGUUUGGGAAAACGUUUAUUUACCGUCCCUGUGUGUUUCUGUCAAGUUUUAUAUUAUUGUACUAAUUUUUUAAUAUUAGUUUUACUAAUUUUUAAUCACCAUCAAACUGAGAUGAGCAUAAUAAUCAUACACGACAGAGUUAAAGUGACAUUUUCAAUAUGUUUGUAAGAAGGCAGAGCGACAUGGAGGAGAAAGAUAGAAAGAAGGCAAAGAAAGCAGAGGCAAAAGAAAUGAAAAACAGGGAGAAUAAAGAAGAAAAGGAAAAGAAGAACAGACGAAAGCAAGAAGAAAAGGAAAGACUUAAGAAAGAAGGAAGAAGAAGAAAGAGAAAAGAAGAGAAGAGAAAAGAAAGGAAAGAUGAGCGAAAAGGAAGAUGAAGAAGAAAAAAAGAAGAAAGAAAAAGAGGAAGAAAAGAAAAUGACAGGGAAACAACCAAUCUCACCAAUCGUCA